CCUACGGGGGGCAGCAGUCGGGAAUAUUGCGCAAUGGAGGAAACUCUGACGCAGUGACGCCGCGUGCAGGAAGAAGGUUUUCGGAUUGUAAACUUCUUUAGACAGGGAAGAAACAAGACAGUACCUGUAAAAUAAGCCCCGGCUAACUACGUGCCAGCAGCCGCGGUAAUACGUAGGGAGCAAGCGUUAUCCGGAUUUAUGUGGGGUAAAGGGUGCGUAGACGGGAAGUCAAGUUGGUUGUGAAAUCCCUAGGCUUAACUGAGGAACUGCAACCAAAACUAACUUUCUUGAGUGCUGGAGAGGAAAGUGGAAUUGCUAGUGGAGCGGUGGAAUGCGGAGAUAGUAGGAGGAAAACCAGUGGCGAAGGCGACUUUCUGGACAGUAACUGACGUUGAGGCACGAAAGUGUGGGGAGCAAACAGGAUUAGAUACCCGUGUAGUC
rnacentral:rRNA from 1 species